rnacentral:rRNA from 1 species
AUACGACCGUACCGCAAACCGACACUGGUGCGCGAGAUGAGUAUUCUAAGGCGCUUGAGAGAACUCAGGAGAAGGAACUCGGCAAAUUGACACCGUAACUUCGGAAGAAGGUGUGCCCUAUUAGUGUGUAGUGAACAACGAAGCAUGAAUGGGUUGCAAAAAAUCGGUGGCUGCGACUGUUUAUUAAAAACACAGCACUCUGCAAACACGAAAGUGGACGUAUAGGGUGUACGCCUGCCCGGUGCUGGAAGAUUAAAUGAUGGGGUGCAAGCUCUUGAUUGAAGUCCCAGUAAACGGCGGCCGUAACUAUAACGGUCCUAAGGUAGCGAAAUUCCUUGUCGGGUAAGUUCCGACCUGCACGAAUGGCGUAACGAUGGCCACACUGUCUCCUCCUGAGACUCAGCGAAGUUGAAAUGUUUGUGAUGAUGCAAUCUCCCCGCGGAAAGACGGAAAGACCCCAUGAACCUUUACUGUAGCUUUGUAUUGGACUUUGAACAGAUCUGUGUAGGAUAGGUGGGAGGCUUUGAAGCAGGGUCGCUAGAUCUUGUGGAGCCAACGUUGAAAUACCACCCUGGUGUGUUUGAGGUUCUAACUUAGGUCCAUUAUCUGGAUCGGGGACAGUGCAUGGUAGGCAGUUUGACUGGGGCGGUCUCCUCCCGAAGCGUAACGGAGGAGUUCGAAGGUACGCUAGUUACGGUCGGACAUCGUGACGAUAGUGCAAUGGCAUAAGCGUGCUUAACUGCGAGACUGACAAGUCGAGCAGAUGCGAAAGCAGGACAUAGUGAUCCGGUGGUUCUGUAUGGAAGGGCCAUCGCUCAACGGAUAAAAGGUACUCUGGGGAUAACAGGCUGAUACCGCCCAAGAGUUCAUAUCGACGGCGGUGUUUGGCACCUCGAUGUCGGCUCAUCUCAUCCUGGGGCUGUAGCCGGUCCCAAGGGUAUGGCUGUUCGCCAUUUAAAGAGGUACGUGAGCUGGGUUUAAAACGUCGUGAGACAGUUUGGUCCCUAUCUUCCGUGGGCGCUGCAGAUUUGAGGAAGCCUGCUCCUAGUACGAGAGGACCGGAGUGGACACACCUCUGGUGUAUCGGUUGUCACGCCAGUGGCAUUGCCGAGUAGCUAAGUGUGGAAGAGAUAACCGCUGAAAGCAUCUAAGCGGGAAACUCGUUUCAAGAUGAGAUCUGCCGGGGCCUUGAGCCCCCUAAAGAGCC